rnacentral:lncRNA from 1 species
UUCUAAACAGCAAAGUACAUUAGAAGACACUUGUGUUGUCUACAUAAUGACAAUAAUAAUGAGUAUACUCUAAUAAUAAAUAAGAAAACUGAGUGAAAAAAUAAUUAUUAAAUCACCCGCUAAAUGAAAUGAUAAACAUAAAUAAGAAAAUUGAGUGAAAAAAAUAAUUAUAAAAUCGGCCACUAAAUGAAAUAAAGUAAACGUAAAACAGCUUUGAAUUCCCCUAAAAAAAACAAAAAAAAAGCUUUGAAUUCAUUGCUAAAAAUCGAAAAAAAAGGGUUGAAUAAUACUUUCCACGUGUAAAAAGACUAGAAGACUAUGACCAUAAAUAAUGAUUAUUUAUGGGCUAACUCUACCAAGCCUUUAUUUUAAAUUUCUUCAGGUUAUAUCUAUGAUUAUUCAUUGGGUAAUUCUAUCCAUAGCCCCC